rnacentral:rRNA from 1 species
UACGUAGGGCGCAAGCGUUGUCCGGAUUUAUUGGGCGUAAAGAGCUCGUAGGCGGCCUGUCGCGUCUGCUGUGAAAGCCCGGGGCUUAACUCCGGGUCUGCAGUGGAUACGGGCAGGCUAGAGGCCGGUAGGGGAAAGUGGAAUUCCUGGUGUAGCGGUGAAAUGCGCAGAUAUCAGGAGGAACACCGGUGGCGAAGGCGGCUUUCUGGGCCGGGCCUGACGCUGAGGAGCGAAAGCGUGGGGAGCGAACAGG